rnacentral:ncRNA from 1 species
UCGCACUGUGGUGGAUUCGGAUCGGAUAUGUAUUCGGCUUCGCGCCGGGAAAUUUCCCAAACCAAAUCAUCUAGAGGAAGUAAAAGUCGUAACAAGGUUUCCGUAGGUGAACCUGCGGAAGGAUCAUUA